rnacentral:rRNA from 1 species
UCCAUGAAGUUGGAUUCGCUAGUAAUCGCGCAUCAGCCAUGGCGCGGUGAAUACGUUCCCGGGCCUUGUACACACCGCCCGUCAAGCCAUGGGAGCCGGUAAUACCCGAAGUCAGUAGUCCAACCUCGUGAGGACGCUGCCGAAGGUAGGAUUGGCGACUGGGGUGAAGUCGUAACAAGGUAAC